AAUAAUUACUUUUUUCCCGACAAAGAAUCAAUCUUAUCGUCAAUCCCACUUUUAAUCUCAUUACGAAUUAGGGUUACCAGAGAUGAGCGAAAAGAUAGAAAGAAAACCUAGGUUAACAAAAAGGGUUGGUUUGCUGCCAACUUAGGUAGAUUUAAGUCCAAAAUUUUACUUAUGUAUCUCGGCAUGCUUAUUUUUCUGUACUGUAAACAGUUUUCAGAGAACUUUACGAUUAUGCUGUUUCACUAUGAUGGUCAAACAAGUGAAUGGGAUGACCUUGAGUGGUCAAAGCGGGCUAUCCAUGUCAGUACACCGAAACAAACUAAAUGGUGGUAUGCAAAACGUUUUCUGCAUCCUGACAUUGUAGCACCUUAUGACUAUAUAUUCAUCUGGGAUGAAGACUUGGGGCUUGAGAAUUUUAAUGCGGAGGAGUA